AGCUUCCAAUACAACAGCAGAUUCCGCCAUUCCCAUAGAGCAGGCUUGGGUUCCUCCACUUGUUGACAAGCAUAGCUUUGUUUGGCUCGCCGGAUACCUAAGGGCAGAAUGUCGCUUAGCUGCUUGGAAGUUAGCCUUCAACUCUUUUUUAAUAGCUUAUUACAUCACUUCUCUUUCUGAUGAAUAAAAAUUUAUGACUGUAUGAGGUAUACCAGCUGAAACUUAUUAACUGUUAUGAGAAUUUUGUACCGAGGAUAAAGAGAUAUAGGUGGUUCUUCGGUUUGCAUAUUUAAUCUGGAAAGUUAUAUGAUUUCUGAAGGAUAUUUUCUUUGUUGGUAUGUGAUUAUAUUUACUGGUGUUGGUAUAUGAUUAUAUAUAGUUUGCAUUAUGUAGAUGGUAUUCGUUGUAUGCUGUGAUACUAGUAUUUGUAGAUGUAUCUACUUCAUCUUGUAAUGUUUCAGUUGACAAUUUUCUUGCUUAUGAUGUAGGUUUUGGAAAAUAUCAUGUAGGAUAUUAAUUCUUACGGAUUUUGUUUCUAGUUUAAUUUGUUUGAUAAUUAAUCUGAUGAGAUUAUUUAACCUCUUUACAUAUGGAAAGGUGAACUAGAGUUUUGCAGGACAAUUCUAUUUUGAGUCUCAUCAAGGUGGACUACGGUUUUGCAAGAUAUGAUGAGGUUUUUAUUGAGUCUUUGAAUUGUUGGUUUAUUAUAUGUAGACACGUUCGUUCAUUUAGAUAUAAGACUUUGAUAUAGUUGUUGAGAUAGCUCUUUACUUAGACUUGUAAAAGAGGAGAUGCUGCUCUCUUGCUCUACUUCUACAUAGUAACCUUGCUUUGAAUUAAUGGAAUGUAUUCUGAUGUUCCUUUCA